rnacentral:misc_RNA from 1 species
AAGUCGUAACAAGGUUUCCGUAGGUGAACCUGCGGAAGGAUCAUUACAUUUGCAGUCCCCCAUAACUGCGUCGGGGGCUCUGGAGCUCUGCCCAGGCCUUCGUCUAUACCCUUGUCUUUUGCGCACUCAUGUUUCCUCGGUGGGCUUGCCUGCCGCUUGGACAAACUUAAACCCUUUUUAUUGUUCAAUCAGCGUCUGAAAAAUAUAAUAAUUACAACUUUCAACAACGGAUCUCUUGGUUCUG